UACGAGGGGGGCGAGCGUUGUUCGGAAUUAUUGGGCGUAAAGGGGGCGUAGGCGGUUUGGUAAGUCUUAUGUGAAAUCUACAGGCUCAACUUGUAGUCUGCAUGAGAAACUGCCGGGCUUGAGUAUGGGAGAGGUGAGUGGAAUUCCUGGUGUAGCGGUGAAAUGCGUAGAUAUCAGGAGGAACACCUGUGGCGAAAGCGGCUCACUGGACCAUAACUGACGCUGAUGCACGAAAGCUAGGGGAGCAAACAGG
rnacentral:rRNA from 1 species